GUGAAAGUAAUGCUUGAUCUUUAUUUUCUUCCUUUCUUUAUUUGAUUAGUUUGAAGUCCCUGGCUUUUUCUAGAGCAAUGAUUGUGGGAAGUUAUCCAAACACGGAGGCAGCACAGCCAUCAGGCCCUUCGCAGUGCCUACCAUUACGUUGCAAUGAUUAACGUCCUGGAGAAAGUACCAGUUGUGCUAAAUGUCCUGCAGCCACUGAAGAUGCUAAGGUGUAUUUGGACGUCAGUGGCAUCAAUGAUCUACCCCAGAACCAAAAAUGUCUGCAGUGUUAACACUGAAGGGGAUGGUAUGCAGAGUAGAGGUAAGGAUAUUUCUAAUGUGUGUAUCCCUAACUGGGACCACCAGCCAGCUCUGUGAGCCACAGGUUCUCAAAGGAGCUGCAGGAACGUCCCGGGAACAUCAGAGGUGCAUGACGCGAUGAACGGUUAAGUCUGAAUUGACCUUUCCGAUGAGUCUGACCUACUUCGUUUUUUUCUUCGGUUCCUGUGACCUGGUGCCCUGGCAUAUGCUCUCGCUAACGGUGUUCCCUAAUGGGUGGUUGGAGGCUCUGGCUAGCCAGCUCUAAAAGACCCAACAGCUUUCGGUUGUGAAGGUUGAGUUAAUUUGGAGCCGAAUUCGCUGAGAGGUGGAGCCAAACUCUUCUGUGCUACUUGGGCACUGUUUUGGAAACUCCGGGGCAGUAGUUCGCCCAGUGGGUGCUUUGGAGGGGUGACUUUCACGGGUGUGCAGUGGAGUCACACCCCUGUGGGUGAAGGAACCUGCUGACAUAAAGGUCUGCCAUCGGCGUUUGCAGGUGUGUUUUCCAGUCCAUGGAGCAAAGAAGUCACAGAAACUUCUGCUCAUCUUUCCUAUUUUGAACUCCUAACCUGAAGAACUAAAUCUGGGACCACAGACUCUCCUUAUAGUUUCAAGAGAGGUAAUUCUAGGGGCUCAGAGACCCCAAAGAUCAGAAACUGGGGAUCUGGGUGGGCUUUGAAGAGCCUGCCUCCCUAGGGAGUGUGUUCUCCAACUGGCAAAUGCCACCUCGGUGUCGAUAUGUGGUUGGUGUCUGUACAGCUAGCGUGUCAGCCCUGUGCUUGGUUCAGAAGCUGCUGGGAGCCUUGAUAGCAAGAGGAUGGAUGGACAGCAGGAAGCAAAAGGGUAGAUGAGGGCUGGAACCCAAGGUGAUUGUACCGAACGCAGUGGUCUUCGUCAGAAUUGCACUGGUUGAACUUUCAGUGGAGUUUGAUAAAUGAAACUUUACUGCAGAUGUCCUGAGAAUUUUGCAUUUAAAAUGAUACCAAGUAAUGUUAAAAAGGAGCAUUGCUAUCCUACCUUAGAAAAAUUCUGUGUCUUGGUCUGGUUAGCCCUCUUUGCA
rnacentral:lncRNA from 1 species